GUAGGAUAGGUGGGAGGCUUUGAAGCGUGGACGCCAGUCUGCGUGGAGCCAACCUUGAAAUACCACCCUUUAAUGUUUGAUGUUCUAACGUUGGCCCCUUAUCGGGGUUGCGGACAGUGUCUGGUGGGUAGUUUGACUGGGGCGGUCUCCUCCCAAAGCGUAACGGAGGAGCACGAAGGUUAGCUAAUCCUGGUCGGACAU
rnacentral:rRNA from 1 species